AGAGUGAACGCUGGCGGCAGGCCUAACACAUGCAAGUCGAGCGGCAGCGCGGGGCAACCUGGCGGCGAGCGGCGGACGGGUGAGGAAUGCAUCGGAAUCUACCCUGUCGUGGGGGAUAACGUAGGGAAACUUACGCUAAUACCGCAUACGACCGAGAGGUGAAAGUGGGGGACCGCAAGGCCUCACGCGAUUGGAUGAGCCGAUGCCGGAUUAGCUAGUUGGUGGGUAAAGGCCCACAAGGCGACGAUCCGUAGCUGGUCUGGGAGAUGAUCAGCCACAUUGGGACUGAGACACGGCCCAAACUCCUACGGGAGCAGCAGUGGGAAUAGUUGGACAAGUGGGACGCAAGCCUGGAUCCAGCCAUGCCGCGUGUGUGAAGAAGGUCCUUCGGUUAGUAAAGCUACGUUUUGUACGGAAGUAAAGUCGUAGGUACGGGUUAAUACCCGAGGUAACGGAUCGAACGGUAACCGAAAGAAUAAGCGACCGGACUAACUCGU
rnacentral:rRNA from 1 species